rnacentral:rRNA from 1 species
AGCAUGUGGUUUAAUUCGAAGCAACGCGAAGAACCUUACCAGGUCUUGACAUCCCGAUGCUAUUUCUAGAGAUAGAAAGUUACUUCGGUACAUCGGUGACAGGUGGUGCAUGGUUGUCGUCAGCUCGUGUCGUGAGAUGUUGGGUUAAGUCCCGCAACGAGCGCAACCCCUAUUGUUAGUUGCCAUCAUUCAGUUGGGCACUCUAGCGAGACUGCCGGUAAUAAACCGGAGGAAGGUGGGGAUGACGUCAAAUCAUCAUGCCCCUUAUGACCUGGGCUACACACGUGCUACAAUGGUUGGUACAACGAGUUGCGAGUCGGUGACGGCGAGCUAAUCUCUUAAAGCCAAUCUCAGUUCGGAUUGUAGGCUGCAACUCGCCUACAUGAAGUCGGAAUCGCUAGUAAUCGCGGAUCAGCACGCCGCGGUGAAUACGUCCCUGCUCCUU